rnacentral:rRNA from 1 species
UAUGGUGCCGCCGCGGUAAUACGUAGGGGGCAAGCGUUAUCCGGAUUUACUGGGUGUAAAGGGAGCGUAGACGGAUGGACAAGUCUGAUGUGAAAGGCUGGGGCUCAACCCCGGGACUGCAUUGGAAACUGCCCGUCUUGAGUGCCGGAGAGGUAAGCGGAAUUCCUAGUGUAGCGGUGAAAUGCGUAGAUAUUAGGAGGAACAUCAGUGGCGAAGGCGGCUUACUGGACUGAAACUGACACUGAGGCACGAAAGCGUGGGGAGCAAACAGG